UACGUAGGGUCCAAGCGUUGUUCGGAAUUACUGGGCGUAAAGGGCGCGUAGGCGGGCCCGUAUGUCGAUUGUGAAAGCCCUGGGCUUAACCCGGGAAUGGCAGUCGAAACUGCGGGUCUGAGUGCUUAAGAGGAUGGCGGAAUUCCCGGUGUAGAAGUGAAAUUCGUAGAUAUCGGGAAGAACACCUGAGGCGAAGGCGGCUGUCUGGUGAUGCACUGAUGCUGAGGCGCGAAAGCGUGGGGAGCAAACAGG
rnacentral:rRNA from 1 species